AACGAACGUUGGCGGCGUGGAUGAGGCAUGCAAGUCGAACGCGAAAGCCGCAAGGCGAGUAAAGUGGCGGACGGGCGAGUAACACGUAAUCAAGCUGCCUGCGAGACGGGGAUAACUUCGGGAAACCGAAGCUAAGACCCGAUGGCCUUGGGAGAUCGCAUGUUUUCCCAAGUAAAUGGGCGGGACCUUUCGGGGUCGCCUGCUCGCAGAGGUGAUUGCGGCCCAUCAGCUAGUUGGUAGGGUAAUGGCCUACCAAGGCAACGACGGGUAGCCGGCCUUAGAGGGUGGUCGGCCGCACUGGGACUGAGACACUGCCCAGACUCCUACGGGAGGCUGCAGUCGAGAAUCUUCCGCAAUGGGCGAAAGCCUGACGGAGCGACGCCGCGUGGAGGAUGAAGGCCUC
rnacentral:rRNA from 1 species